ACGUGGAAGCCCAACGUUCAUUUUUGACAGCCCAAACUCUUCUCCAACCGAUAUGUCUUUUCCACGUGGAUUAGACAUAUCCCUCUCCUCUGUCAAAUUUGACAGACAGAAGAAGCUCUGUCAUUUAUUUUUUUUAUUGUUUCUCACUUUCUUCUUCUCCUUUCCCCGUCUUUCUUCCUUCAUCUCACCCAGAACUGAUGCUUUUGAAAUCCCGGUUCCAAUGAGCUAAUUAAAGGAACAUGGAUCAAAGUCAUUCAGAUUCAUCCUCGCCGUUACAAUAGCAGGUGGUUUGAUACAGCUAGGGAAAUGUUGAAAAAUGGAUGUCAGUUUUUACUCUCUUCAGAUUGCAGAUGCAAAGAAGAUGUUUGAAGCACAAGAAAAGCUUCGGUUCAAUCUUGAUCAUGCUUGGAUUUCAAGCUGUUUAUGUUUCCUGCUAUGUAUAUUCCCAUAUCUCAAAUUCUCAUAAUCUCAAUUGCAUCUC